AAAAGAUCGAAUGGGGAAGAUUCAUUCCGUCAGCGACGUUGGCUUUACGGUGACUCCGUGAUAUUCGCGGGGCCCUUCGCGGGUUCCCGUGGGUACUCGGUCAUCGUUUUUUUUAUGUCCGACGGCGUCGGCGUGCACUUCUCCCCUAGUAGGACGUCGCGACCCGUUGGGUGCCGAUCUAAGGCCCGGGUGGGUGUCUGUCGCGUCGCUUCGGCGUCGCGCGGCAAACCCUCGGUCGCCAGUGUACAUCGGCUGCCCGGCGGUACUCGCAAUGGUAUCGGGCCGCAAUUCUCUGGAACUGCGUCGGGCCCGCCGCAAGCUCGGCCAUCGAACGAAUCGCGGAGGUACGGACCUAGCGCCGUCCCCGCGCCUGGCCAGCUGUUCGCAGGCGGUGCUCUCCGACAGGCCAAAAAGACACAUCGAAAGUGUGAUACCGGUCAGCGACGCUACUGCUUUGGGUAAUCUCAGGACCCGUCUUGAAACACGGACCAAGGAGUCUAACAUGUACGCGAGUCAUUGGGACUCUGCAAUCCUAAAGGCGAAAUGAAAGUGAAGGUCGGACCUAAGCGUCGACCGAGGGAGGAUGGGCCGCGUCACGAUGCGGCUUCGCACUCCCGGGGCGUCUCGUUCUCAUCGCGAGAAGAGGCGCACCCAGAGCGUACACGUUGGGACCCGUGGUGGG
rnacentral:rRNA from 1 species